rnacentral:rRNA from 1 species
GACGAACGCUGGCGGCGUGCUUAACACAUGCAAGUCGAACGGAAAGGCCCUGCUUGCCGGGUACUCGAGUGGCGAACGGGUGAGUAACACGUGGGUGAUCUGCCCUGCACUUCGGGAUAAGCCUGGGAAACUGGGUCUAAUACCGGAUAGGAGCCAUUUUUAGUGUGAUGGUUGGAAAGUUUUUUCGGUGUAGGAUGAGCUCGCGGCCUAUCAGCUUGUUGGUGGGGUAAUGGCCUACCAAGGCGGCGACGGGUAGCCGGCCUGAGAGGGUGGACGGCCACAUUGGGACUGAGAUACGGCCCAGACUCCUACGGGAGGCAGCAGUGGGGAAUAUUGCACAAUGGGCGCAAGCCUGAUGCAGCGACGCCGCGUGGGGGAUGACGGCCUUCGGGUUGUAAACCCCUUUCGCUAGGGACGAAGCUUUUUGUGACGGUACCUAGAGAAGAAGCACCGGCUAACUACGUG